GCCAGGCAUGGUGGUGCAUGCACCUGUAAUCCUAGCUACUUGGGAGGCUGAGUUGGGAGGAUCACUUGAGCCCAGGAGUUUGAGGUUGCAGUGAGCUAUGAUCAGGCCACUGCGCUCCAGCCUGGGUAACAGAGGGAGACUCUAUCUCUU
rnacentral:SRP_RNA from 1 species